CAUUUGGUAGCGAUCGAAGAUCGCACUCGUUAAUGUUUGUAGCAAGAAAAAUCACAGAUUAAUUAAAUUUUGAUAGUCUUAAAUUAGAUGGCUCACACAGGAAGUGCUGGUGCAGUGGUAAUUCGCAUUCCACUCGUACAGAGGACGCUUUUUCAGGAGGGAACGCGAAAAGUGUCGAUCGUGUGCGCCAGGAUAAGAUGGUUACAGACACUUCCACAUCAGGAGAAAGCUGCUGAAAGUUUCAAUUGAUGAGCGGCUGUUAAAGCAGUGCUGGAAACGACGGAGAUACCAAGCCUGUCGACAAAUAUGCGCUCCUUAUUUUACUACGAAAACGAGGCUGGUAGAAAAGCCCUAAUGACUCUAACAAUCAUUGCAUAUUCGCGGACUUAGGAUUGACGCGGCCGAGAACAGUCUAAAGCGUGCGGUUGCAGGAGACAAACCAGAUCAAGGGUCGCCAGGUCUUGCUAGAGAAUGUUGAAUGCCUGUCCACCUAUCCGAUUCCGUUAUCAUUAUGGUCUGGUCACCGAUGAUUAAGUGACUGACAGGUUACACCACUAAAAUAGUAGGGCAAUGUUUUAUUUGACCAUUCAAUGAUAAGCAACUUCUGUUUAAUAGUUUCAAACUUAUUUGAUUAUAAAUAUGUAACAUGUA